rnacentral:lncRNA from 1 species
UGCAUUAACAAUACACUGAGACCUUAUAACCAAUAAACUUAAAAGAUGAUCUCAAACUUCCAUUAAAUGACAGGAGGAGAAGAAUCUGUGAUCUGGUGUUUUAGGUUUUGGUGAAAACAGUCAGAGUAAAAGUGAAAGUAAGUGAGCUCAAAAACAGACUGUAUUUUGAGAUAAGAACAGAGCAGAGAGGAGAGGACGAGGAGACAGGGUGAGUGUUUACUCUGGGUUUUUGUUUUAAUGUCAAACUCUUUAUCUGUAUCAUCCGUUAAUGAAAAAUGAUUUACUGACUAAUACACUUAAAAACUGCAAAGCAAAGAAACCUGACCUGACAAAGAGAUGGAUCAGUUCUGGAUUCAAGAGAACUGGAUAGGUGCAAUUCUUCCUCUGUUUUUAGACUUGUCUUUUUAGUAAAAACUAAAAUAUGUUUUUUGUUUAGCCUCUCAUUUCAAAUUUGAUCAUUUAAUCCAGUCCCCUUAAUUUUUUAUGGGAGUUCAGGGACCUCAGAGCUGCUUUUUUUUUGACCGUGAAUCAGAUUAUGAUCAGAGAGAGGCCCUGCAGGGUGAGGAAACAUCCCAUGUGUUUGGAUACAGAUUAGACCCUGUAUAAGUCUUAAAGAGAGAUAUUAAGCUUUUUCAAGACUCUACACUAACUUUCUGUUUCCUCUUCAAUAUUUUUACAUGAUUUUCAGUUUAAAAGAAAAACCUCCUGUUUCUCACUUUGGUGUAUUAAAAGAUCAUUAUUUCUGCCUCCUCCUAGCUACUGUCCUUUAAAGGCCCCCCACUCCCAGCCUACUUUUAUUUCUGAUCUCCCCUGUUUGUAUCUCAACUGUUUGUCUAUUUCGUCCUCAGGUUGUAUGACUCGGUUUCAUCUUCCAUAAAUUUGCUCAACAUCAGAUGGAGAAGAUGAGUGAUUGUGUCGAGGAAGAGGAGGGCAGAGCGAAGUCUGUCAUGUCUGACUGUCUGUCUUUGAAGAGUGACUGGUCUAAAGGUUCACCACUGGACUUCAGUAAAGAACCAGGACCCUCAGAUGCAGAGUAAGAGAAACACUUUUUAACCUCCAAACUCUCAAACAGUCAUUAAUGAUGCUCUAAAUUCUGACCCCUCUGUUUUCUACCAUGGAGCGAAAAAUGAUCUCUGCUCUCAAAAUGGUGAUUUUCCUGUUUAAUAUGCCAACCUGGAGAAAAUGAAGAAAAAGUCACUGAGCACAUAUUCAUUUAUUAUUCAUAAUGUUUAUGAAAAUGAAGGAUGUAUAAAACAGCAUUUAAAAAGGAUUCUGACCUCAGUUUUUUCUGAUUUGGUUCCUGUUUUUGGAACGUUUUGAGCCUGUAAGUCUUUGGACUGUGGUGUGUAGACCCCAGAAAACAGUCUGUGGGUCACAAAAUACCAGAAGACCAAUGAAGAAAUAAUUCCUGAGAAAUAAAAAACUAAUUCAGAGCGUCUUUCUGUUAUUCGACCUUUAGAUCUGAUUGGUCAAAAAAAUGUUUUAAACUGUCAGAGAAAAUCUCUCUACCUUCAAAAUUCACAGUUUAGUUUUUCUCCUGUCACCACACUUUCAGGCAGCAGCAGCUGAAUAUUUUACAGGAGAUUGUUUUAUGUUUGAGGAAAGAGUGAGGUCAGAAACUCUGGUUUAAUAAAUGCUUCUUAUUCUGUAUCUUCCAAAUGAUAAUGAUAAAGAAAAUAAAUGUUCUUUAUUUCCAUAGAGAGACAGAGAGAUUUGACUCUGUGGAGGAGCAGCUGUCCAGAUAUCUCAACUCUAAAAGAAGUAAGUCUGAACAUCUGUUCUCUAAAGUCUCUGUCGAUGAAAACACAGCUGACUGAUUGAUCACAAAGAUGUUUUAGUGUUGAGCAGUUUGGUUCAUUUUAUUUUUCUUCUCUUUUAGCAGAUCGCAGUCUGCAGGAGGUUUUAGAUGAACAUAAGAUCAGUCUGAAGAGGAGAUGUGAACGUGUGAAUGAAGGAAGUGAUGAAAGGGGGAGGCAAACCCUCCUCAACAUGAUCUUCACUGACCUCUACAUCACAGAAGGACUGAGUGAAGAGGUGAACACCCAACAUGAGUCGAGACAGCUGGAGACAGCUUCAAAGAUGAAGACCCUCAGUGACACGCCCAUCAAGUGCCAUGAAAUCUUCAGAGUCUUACCAGGUCAACAGGAAGUCCUCAGAGUGGUUCUGACCAACGGCGUCGCUGGUGUUGGAAAAACCUUCUCAGUGCAGAAGUUCACUCUAGACUGGGCAGAGGGUUUGGAGAACCAAGACCUCAAUCUGGUGGUCCUGCUUUCAUUCAGGGAACUGAACCUGAUCAGAGAUGAGCCCUACAGUCUUCUGAGUCUGCUCCAUGUUUUCCAUCCAACACUAGAGAAGGUCACAGCAGAGACGCUGGCUGUCUGUAAACUUCUGUUCAUCUUUGACGGUCUGGAUGAAAGCAGACUGUCUCUGGAUUUCACAGACUCUGAGGUCGUUUCUGACGUCACACAGAAGUCAUCAAUAAACGUUCUGUUAACAAACCUCAUCAAGGGAAAUCUGCUUCCCUCAGCUCUCAUCUGGAUAACUUCUCGACCUGCAGCAGCCAAUCAGAUCCCUCCUUCAUGUGUGGACAGGGUAACAGAAGUACGAGGCUUCACUGACGCCCAGAAGGAGGAGUACUUCAGGAAGAGGUUCAGAGAUGAAGAUCUGUCCAGAAGAAUCAUCUCACACAUCAAGUCCUCCAGGAGCCUCCACAUCAUGUGUCAGAUCCCGGUCUUCUGCUGGAUCACUGCAACAGUUCUGGAGGACAUGAUGAGCAGAGAGCAGAGAGGAGAGCUGCCCAAGACCCUGACUGACAUGUACUCACACUUCCUGCUGGUCCAGACUAAGAAGAAGAAGCAGAAGUAUGAAGGGGGACAUGAGACAAGUUCUCAGGAGCUGACUGAGACUGACAGUGAAGUCCUCCUGAAGCUGGGGAGACUGGCCUUUGAACAUCUGGAAAAAGGAAACAUCAUGUUCUACCAAGAAGACCUGGAGCGGUGUGGUCUGGAUGUCUUAGAGGCUUCUGUGUACUCAGGAGUUUGUACAGAGAUCUUCAGAAGAGAGAGUGUGAUCUUCCAGAAAACAGUUUACUGUUUCGUUCAUCUGAGCGUUCAGGAGUUCCUGGCUGCAGUCUACAUGAUCCACAGUUUCACAAACAAGAACACAGAAAUUCUGGAGACUUUCCAGAAAGACAACAAACAAAAAGAUAAUCCGGAUAACAGUUUCCUAUCUCUGGAUGACUUCCUGAAGCUUGUCAUUGAGAAAUCUCUUCUCAGUAAAAAUGGUCACCUGGACCUGUUUGUUCGCUUCCUUCAUGGACUUUCUCUGGAGUCAAACCAGAGAGUCUCAGGAGGUCUGCUGGGUCACACAGACCACAGUUCAGAAAUGAUCCAAAGAGUCAUCGACAACCUGAAGGAGAUGAACAGUUAUUAUAUCUCUCCUGACAGAAGCAUCAAUAUUUUCUACUGUCUGAUGGAGAUGAACGAUCUGUCAGUUUAUCAGGAGAUUCAAGAGUUCCUGAAGUCAAAGGACAGAUCAGAGAAGGAACUCUCAGAGAUCCACUGCUCUGCUCUGGCCUACAUGCUGCAGAUGUCAGAGGAGGUUCUGGAUGAGUUGAACUUAUAUGAUUAUAACACAUCAGAGCAGGGACGACUGAGACUGAUCCCAGCUGUGAGAAACUGCAGAAAGGCUAAGUAAGUCCGGGUUUUAUUCUCAGAAUAGUGUAAAUGAGCUCUGUAGCUCUUCCAAUGUCCAUGUUACUGAUGAUGUUCUUCUUCAAAUAGAAAUCUACUGAAAUAUCAGGGAGGCGGGUUCUUUAGGUUUAGCAAAAACAUGAUCCUGGUGUCAAAAGUCCUAUCAGCACAGGAUGAGGUCUACCUGUGGACCCCUGAGAACUUGUCCUAAUUGUGGAGGACCUCUUUGUUUUGCAUCAAGUUGAAUAGACGGUGUCUGUAAAGAAUAAAGUAGAAAUUUUAGGACAAAUCAGCGACCAAAUCUAAGGACACACAGAGGUCUUCCGAUGAUGAUAUCAGUCCAGUCCAAAUCAACAUCUCAGUCAAUUGUGGUGAACUUGAGUUUGAAGAAGGUGGCUGCAGCUUUUUCCUGCUGGUUUUCUGGUUAGAAAUGAUGAAUCUGUCGUAAAUGAGGGUGUUGACAGCUUUUAUAGUGAAAAUAGAGCUGGAUCAUUUUCUACCCAGUGGCAGAACUGUCUCUGUAUCAUAAUGUCAACCAUUCAAUAUUCCUAAUCAAUACAACAAUGAAAACUAACAUCAUAUUCCACCACUCACUGGAUAGUAUAUGGUGGACUAUAACACAUAAAUGACGACAACACACGAGUUAUUUGGACAGCAGCUCCAUGUGUGAAAACAAUGGUGGAAACAGGAUGUUUGUGUCUCUCUCUGUCUUUGCCCUCAAUGCUGCAGGUUGGCACUGACACUACUCUGCCUCAUAACGCUUCAUGGCAUUUGGAAACAGCUGUGCUUGUCCACUUCAUAUAUGGACACCAUAAGGAUAAGCAGUUUGAUUGCAUCAUCAUCAGCAGCAGCAGCAACUUUCCAUGGUGUCCCUUUGUCAGAGUCGGCCCAAAGCAUAAGCGAACUGAGUGCCUGCUUAGGGCCCUGUGGCCAAAAGGGGCCCCCCAAGAGCAAUCAAAAUAAAUAAAAUAAAAUGAAAUAUUUUAUUUUUUGCAUGUAUGAGUGAUGCCUUCUGUAUGAUCAAAUAUAUAUUAUAGUAAAAAUAAAAUAAAGUAAAAACAUUUUAGUGCUGCUGCUGAUAUAGGCCUAUGAUUCUUACUGCACAUAUGUCAAAGCUCCAAUAGCUUUAUGUGACUUCUGCUGUGCAACGUGCACUGAGCAUCCAAAGCACAGGUAGUUGUGGGGCAAAACAAUGUCACAAAAAAGGACAUAUCCUUCAGGAGCAGAGAAAAGAAAGAGGAAAAAAGAGAAAAAAUGCCAAGAUAAAUGUAUGUUUGCAUGUCAUGGAAUGUUAAUCAAAGAGAUUUGUGGAGGUGUGUGAAUGAUCAACAAUCAAUAGAGGGAAAGAGAGGGCCCCAAAAUCAAAAUUUGCUUAGGGCCCCAUUGAGGCUUAGGCUGGCUCUGCCCUUUGUUGUCAUAGUGAUACAGAGUGAAGAUGAUUCCUUCAAUGUUAAGGUGUUUGUGGGCUGUAGCGGUCACAUUUCUCCCACUUGACUGGAUGCCUCUGUUUAAGAUGUUGAUGUAAAUUGGUCAGACUGCUGCCUUCUGCUGAAACAGCCUUUGAACAAACACUGCAGCAGACUGGGGUUUGAUCCAGGUCUGAGGCUGUGAGACUAGACCGGUUCUAAAGGACUAACAAGACAGACUUUUUUAUUGUUUAACUAUCAUGAAGCAUUGAACAAUACUGUGCUUAGAGAGAGAGAGAGAGAGAGAGAGAGAGAGAAGGGGGGGGGGGGGGGCGUCAUUUGUCUUGAACAUCUGAACAGUUUUUUUUUUCUUCUAAACUUUGACUUCCUGUCUUCUCUCACGGCUGUGGUCCUGAUAUUAGUAGCUGGCUGGUUAAAAACAGGCCGUCUGUCAAACCAUAGAUAAUGUUUAAGUUGUUUUAGGUGAAGAGAAUCAUCAAAUUACCCUUUAAUGAAAUAUUGUUUGAUAUUUAUUUUGUUACAGACUUUCAUACUGUGGACUCUCAAAGACUCACUGUGAAGUUGUGGCCUCAGCUCUGAAGUCCAACCCCUCCCAUCUGAGACAUUUGGACCUGAGUUACAAUUAUCUGCAGGAUUCAGGAGUGAAGCUUCUCUCUGUUGGACUGGAGAGUCCAAACUGCAGACUGGAGACUCUGAAGUCAGACACCAUUUCCUUCUGAUCUAACAAUAAGAUGUGACAGUUGUUGCCUUAGAUUUUUCUCUGUGUUUUUUUCCAUCAACUUUGGUCGUGCAGUUUGAAUUUGUAGUUGUAAAAUGUCAACAUAGGAAGAAAAAUCCAACAUUUCAGAGUUGACUUGGAGUGGAACGAUGGAUAUAGAAAGAAAGCAGAACAAAAUCAGUCCCACAAAUAUUACACAUGCUAGUAGAGGGCAGGAGCAGCACAGAAUAAAGGCUGAUAUUGAACUGAUCCACAAUUAAUUUGAUCACUAAUGAAUGAAUGAAGUAUCAGAGAAAUGAUGAGCUGCAGAUUGAAACCUGAGUUAAUCCAACUCUGGAUAUUUCAUUUGGAAAGUCUUGAAAACUUGAAUCUCUUCUCUGCUCAGCCGUGUUCAAAUGUAAAAACCAGAUCCAGAUUUUUCUGCAGUUUUCACUUCAUUUUGUUGAACAUUAACAUCAUCUUUUCCAGUUGGUCCAUAAAAACCUCUCUGAUAAAUGAUCUGUUGGUUUAUUUACAAGUAGUUUGGCAGAUGUUGACAGUAUCUUAAAUAUUUCUUGACUGAAAAAUUCCUCAGGAUUUUCAAAAAGUUUAGAGAGGAUAUGACAAAGUUCCUCAAGAUCAACUCUGAAAAGGUUCUUCUUCUAUGUCCUUCAGGGGCUCAAGAACAUUGAAUCAUUAAAAUCAAGAACAGUUUCUUCAGAGGUUCAAUGAUUUUUCUCUUUCUUUAGACUGAAGGGCUGCAGUUUGUCAGAGAUCAGCUGUUCUUCUCUGGUCUCAGCUCUGAAGUCCAACCCCUCCCAUCUGAGACAUCUGUGGCUGAGUCGAAACAAUCUGCAGGAUUCAGGAGUGAAGCUGCUGUGUGAAUUUCUGCAGAGUCCAAACUGUAAACUGGAGACUCUGAGGUCAGAAUUUUGUCCUCUUCUCAAACAUUGGCAUGAUUUGUUUGUGAUGAUGACACUAAACUGCUGAAUCAGGACUGAAAUACUUGACCAAGACUGAACACCUAGUUGUAGAUUUCCUGCAUCGGUGGAUUAUUUGAUUGACUCCAGUUAUAUCACUGCUAAGCUACAAUGAAUUAAAACCUGAACACAAGAAGAAAACUCUUUGUAAAGUUCACAGUGAGAAGCACAUUCAGACAGAAAACAGAAGCAGGGGGAGAUUUGUCCGACGAGAACGAUUCAAACUUUUGUUCAAGACAAGAUCAGCCAAUAGAAAAAACUCAAAGUUUAGUUUCUGACACUGAUGGAAGUCCAGCUCUGUUACAUUGGAUUUUUCUUUUUUAAAAUCUUUAUGUAAAAAUCUGAAUUUUAUGGUGUAUCAGCACUUUUCUGAAGCCCUGUUUCGACUGAAAUAUUUACCUCUAAAAGAUGUGAUAUUUUUGGUUCAGCAAAGUGAAAAUAUUCUGAACAUCCUUUAUUUUCCAUCCGUCUUGAAGUCGCUGACAUUUUCCAGAAAUUUGUUCUGCAUCUACAAUCAGUGAAAAAAUAUCUGAGUUUGUUUUCACAAUUUAAUGUGUUUUUGAAUUCACUUUUCCAAACUUACUUCCUGUUUGGUUCAGCUCUUUGGAGCAUCACUUUUCUUUGAUUCAUACUUUCCAAACCUUUCCUCUGAACUCUACAGAUUUAAGACAUAAGAUUUCAAAAUGGAUCAUUGUUUGUCUAAAAUCUCAUUGUUUCCUCUUUAUUUAGGUUGAAAUACUGCAUUUUGACAAAGAUCAGCUGUUCCUCUCUGGCCUCAGCUCUGAUGUCCAACCCCUCCCAUCUGAAAACUUUGCGGCUGUUUGGCAACAAUCUGCAGGAUUCAGACAUGACGCCACUGCGUGAACUUCAGAAGAGUCCAGACUACAGACUGAAGGAUCUGAGGUCAGUAUAGAGUUGGAGUCAGUCUGUGCUGAUCUCUCCUGUCACACUCCACACAGUAUCAUGGCAGAUAUUCAGUAUUUCCUGCUGACUCUUUGACCCUCUCAGAGGAUUAUUUCUUUUGCAACGCUGUGAGAACAGAAACCAUUAAACGAAGAUUGUAAGAGUGUCCUUUUUUUCUUUAUAUUUCAGAUCAAAUGUAGAAACGAGACAAAUAAAAUAAAGAUGUUCAGUUUCUGCUCUGAAGUCUCGGCUAACUUGUUGAUUUGACCUCUAAGGUUGAAAACAGACAGCUGUUCUUUAUACUUAUUAUUUUCACAGCAGGUUUGUUACAUCAGCUUUAACACAUUUGACAGGAAAGAUUUCUUAAUUUUGAUGAUGUUGGUUUAUUUUUGAGGAAACCUGCUGCUUUACACCAUCACUUCUGGUCUGAGCAGGACUGAAACCUGCUGCUCUUUAAACUCCAUGUUCUUCAGUCCUGCUGAUGAAGUGAGUCUCAGAGUGGAAACACUGAUUGUCCUUUUUUCUCUCCUCAGAUGGAGGUUGUAGCUGUCAGAGUGAUUAAAAAGAGGAUCAUCUCUUUCCUAAUGAUCAGAGAGGUGGAGGCAGCAGCAGCAGUGAGGGAAACUGACUGACCAAUCACAGCAGGUGGAGAGGACUCUGGGAGCUGCACUUUGACCUGCUGAGAUCAGCUCAGGACCUGGACUGUGGAUAUUUGAUAUUUUCCGUCAAAUUCACAUUUCAUUUAUUUAUUUUUUUCACAUGUGCGUUCAACACAAGAAAGUUAACUGAAAACAAACAAACAAAACCAGUGAGAAUAUUCAAAACAAAAAUAGCAAUAAUCAAAGCAAAAAGUAAAAAUAAAGAUAAAAAAUACUACUAAUAAUAAUGCAAACUCUGCACAUUAGUGUAAAUUUGGUAGAAUUGGUGAACAGUAGAGAAUAUGUAGUGAUUUUUGGCCCAGAAUGUGUUUUCUUUUGCUCCAGACUGAAAAGUUUCUUGACAGUUUACUUUGCAGAUGUUUUAUGUGAGACUUUCAGUUUUUUAUUAAUCAUCAAUUUUCACCCUAAGAAACUUGUUUUCAUAUACUCUUUCAUAAUCCACCCUGUCUACCUGUAUCUGUACUUGUGUAUUUUUUAUUAUAAUUGCCAAAUAACAUGAAUUUGGUUUUGCCUAAGUUUAGUGAUAAUUUGUUUCUGUCAAACCACAUUUCAGUAGUGAUCCUCCCCAGUAGUUCAUGUAGAUCCCUCCCAGAACAUUCUGGGAUCAAACAGUCUGAACAGGUUUGUUUUGUUUUGUUUAUAGAAACAUAAUCAUAAAUUUACACAGACAAGACUCUGUAGUGGAUGUCACCACAUCCCUUCUAAAACCACAGUCAGUGAACACGGUUUGUCUCUUUAUUAAAUCAGAUAUAGGAUUCAAAGAGAUUUAUCAACAUUUUACACAGCGUCUAAACUCUUCAGGGAUUGAGGUUGUAUUCAUAAAAGAUGCUUAUCAUACAAAGUUUGGAAAAUCAUUUAUCUAUUUUACAGAAUCCUUGUUAAACAGAUUUUUAUACUUCACUUUUUUAAACUAUUUUUUCAUCUUGUGUUUCUGUUAUAUCUUGGUUUAUUGCUCUUAAUUGCUAUUAAGGAACUUUUUAAUAUGUCCUGUUUGAGUGACUUCAUAAAAAUCUGUGGACACUGUUAGGGCUUGGUGACAGAUAAUAAAAAAUUAGGAGUUUUUCUUUCAUUACUCAUGUAUGAUUUAUCAGCAUUUUGUUUUGAAUGUAUAGUUUGUGCCACUUUUUGUGAAAUGUUUGAGUUUAUUGGAUCAAAAGUUUGAGUCAAAAGAAGCAGAUAUAUAAAACACUGUAUCUGUGCUUCAUCAGCAGUUUUUAACUUGUGAUUUAAAGUGUUUUCAUUUAUAGUCUAAACCGUCAAAUCUAGAUUAUUGGAGAUUAAGUGGUUGUCCUGUCAUCACAUUUUAAAUCAAACUUUGACUUUAUUAUCUCCACAUUUUUUUUGCUUUUUUUGUACUUAAACACAAUUUAAUCAUAAUUUGCCAUUAAAAUCUUAACUAUGAAUGAAUUUAAACAA